UCUAGGAAAAAAACAAAAGAGCACAAUAUCUUGUUAAAUUUUAUAAUCCAGUCCCCACUUUGCUUCUUCCACCGCCAUGUAAUUUUCCCUAAAUUUCCUCCUUAAUUUCAACUGCAUUAAAGAAGCUGCAAAAUGUAUUCGCGGGAGCAUUUGAGAUCUUGCUGGCUGGCAUAUGUCAUCAGUUUGGCUCAAAUAAACUCAUAAAAAUUCUCUACAGGUUUGAGUAUUUCUCACAUUGACCAGUAGGUUUCUCCCAUUUGUAUUCUAUUUUCAGUCCACCCAUGGCCCCUGCCUUUCUAGGCCCAGAGGAGGGGAGUGUGGGAAUUAGGGGCUGGGGUGGGGCGUUAUUUUGACCUCUGAGUCACCACUCCACUCCCUUCUCCCCCUGAUUCUGGUGUGGAAUAGUCUUGCUUCUCACUUGUGCCCCUCCGUUGAUCUUGGGUUUAGCUUUUUCCUAGGUUAGUCACACUCAGCCACUGGUUGCCAGCUUCCUAAAAAUGUGAUCUAUUUGUUCUCUUCCACUUUUUAUUUCCUUGUGGAUUUAUAACUUUUACUUUCCUUUUCUGUCUUUUUUUUGGCUGCAAAAAUUGUAUUGUUUCGUUUGGUCCAAUGCAUGGGAGAGGGCUUCAGGGUAGUGAACAGAAUGGCUAAUAGUUUUGGAAAGAGGCUCAGGUAAAAGCCAGACACCACGGGAUGCAGAGGGGCCCCUCAAAGGCCUCUGGGGUCCACAGGCUCCUAGUCAUGCUUGAGGGCGGGCCUUUUGAAGAGAUACUUGCCCAGCCCAGUCUGGGGGCUGGCCAGCCUGCAGAGGUGAGUCAGGUGUCGCCCAUCUUCUUGAUGAGUUUCACCUCCUCACCCUGGAAGUGGUUCUCCAGGAAGUCACAGAGCUGAGGGUCUGUGGGAAGAACCCAGGGCCUGUAGCUCCCAAAGGGCCUGGUUCAGGUUCCUCUCCAAGGCCAGGGCAGCUUCCAUGGGCCCUGAGUUUUGCCCACUCAUCUUGGGAGGCUUCAGCACGUCCUGGAGAGAAUGCAGCCAACACGCUGGUUUUGCAACUUUCAGAGAUGCUCAGCACCAUGUGCUUCUUCUCUGCCAACUUGUGGAAGAAAUGGCCCACGUCCUCGAGAGCCACAUCGCCCCAGUGGAAGUAGAAGCCCAGAGAGAGGUUUUCCUUCCGAAUCACUGAGUCAUCUUUCGUAUUCCUUGAAUCUGCCAUGCACUAAUUAGCCUGGAGUGGGAUUAGCAAAUACCGCAAAACAGUGCUUGGCUCAUGUAUUCCGAGUCAUGCUCCGUCUCUUUCAACAACUGUACAUUUCUUCUUUUCCGACUGUUUGCUUAAUGAAAUAAAAGGUCAUAUUUUA